rnacentral:tmRNA from 1 species
GGGGUCGACCGGUUUUGACAGCGGGUGGAACUAAACGGUAAGCACGUCGAGCAUUGGACAUUUGGCUCGUAAAUAUCAAGGUUCACAACUUAUAAACGGCGAAAAUAAUUACGCUUUAGCUGCUUAAUCUGAAUUAUAGUAAGAUUUGCCUCGUUCCUACUAGGUAGGAAAGCUGGAUUCUCCUCAAAAGCCUUGGUUUGUGGCGUUUGAUCAAGGAGAACUGUAAAAAUAAACCUAGGAAGGGUAAAGCUUUAAAUCCCUUCUGACAACUAUAAAGCUAAGCAAGAAGUGGCUGCCUUUGGCCUUGCUUUUUGUCGAAAACCCAAUCAGAGGAUAAACGCGUAGAAAGCUCUUUGGUUGCUUGUUUGGACGAGAGUUCGAUUCUCUCCGACUCCACAU